rnacentral:rRNA from 1 species
UGGGGAAUAUUGGACAAUGGGGGAAAUCCUGAUCCAGCGACGCCGCGUGAGUGAAGAAGUAUUUCGGUAUGUAAAGCUCUAUCAGCAAGGAAGAAAAUGACGGUACUUGACUAAGAAGCCCCGGCUAACUACGUGCCAGCAGCCGCGGUAAUACGUAGGGGGCAAGCGUUAUCCGGAUUUACUGGGUGUAAAGGGAGCGUAGGCGGCGGAGCAAGUCAGAAGUGAAAGCCCGGGGCUCAACCCCGGGACGGCUUUUGAAACUGCCCUGCUUGAUUUCAGGAGAGGUAAGCGGAAUUCCUAGUGUAGCGGUGAAAUGCGUAGAUAUUAGGAGGAACACCAGUGGCGAAGGCGGCUUACUGGACUGACAAUGACGCUGAGGCUCGAAAGCGUGGGGAGCAAGCAGGAUUAGAUACCCUGGUAGU